rnacentral:rRNA from 1 species
GAUGAACGCUGGCGGCGUGCCUAAUACAUGCAAGUCGAGCGAACGGACGAGAAGCUUGCUUCUCUGAUGUUAGCGGCGGACGGGUGAGUAACACGUGGAUAACCUACCUAUAAGACUGGGAUAACUUCGGGAAACCGGAGCUAAUACCGGAUAAUAUUUUGAACCGCAUGGUUCAAAAAUGAAAGACGGCCUUGCUGUCACUUAUAGAUGGAUCCGCGCUGCAUUAGCUAGUUGGUAAGGUAACGGCUUACCAAGGCAACGAUGCAUAGCCGACCUGAGAGGGUGAUCGGCCACACUGGAACUGAGACACGGUCCAGACUCCUACGGGAGGCAGCAGUAGGGAAUCUUCCGCAAUGGGCGAAAGCCUGACGGAGCAACGCCGCGUGAGUGAUGAAGGUCUUCGGAUCGUAAAACUCUGUUAUUAGGGAAGAACAUAUGUGUAAGUAACUGUGCACAUCUUGACGGUACCUAAUCAGAAAGCCACGGCUAACUACGUG